AAAAUUAUAGGGGCGAAAUUUGGUGGUUAUGGAUCAAGAUCUUGAUGCUGAUUGUGUUAACCCUGAAGAAUAGGCCUGCUAUACAGAUUCCUUGUGCAAGCACACUCCUAUAUUUACGUCUUGAUAUCAGAUUCAGGUAUCUUAAUGAAACUUUUUUUAGUGGAUGGCUUUUGUAUCUGAUAGAGGAAAUGUCAUUAAGAUAUUAACGUUUAAAAUACCCCACAUGAAAUGCCAAAAUCCAUAAAAAGAGAUACUCAAAUCAGUAAUGGGAAAACAAGAGGAAUAAGUGAUGAAGAAGGUAAUAAAAUGUAUCAUUUAUCAGUACACAAUAAAAUCUUAGAGUUUUAACAUUUUUAUGCUACACUUGGGUGAUUGCAGGCUUUAAGUAAUGGACUUUAUAAGAGUGUUUGACAUAGGGCUAUUGUGAAUGCUGAAAAGCCAAGGCUUUCAGUGGCUUCAUUUCUCUGCCCAGGUAAUGAGGCAUUAAUAUGUCCUGCAAAGCCGCUAACUAAAAAUGGAUCUGGAGCCAUAUACAGAGGGUUUACAUACCCAGAAUACUAUAGCAAAUUCUGGAGUAGGAACUUGGAUCAAGAACAUUGUUUGGAACUUUUCAAGAACAAGUAACAUUAAAUAUGUAACUGGCACAAAACAAUGGGAAUAAAUAUAAGGGAGAUAUUAAUUUAUCCAAUCCUUAUUAUGAAACAAUACAUGAUGAGGUCUAAAGUUUUACUCGUAUUAUAUUAGCUUUUAUAUUGCAGACAAACUUUAGAAAGAAGAAGAAUCUUUAUAGCUUUCAUGUGAUCCUUUUCUAUCACUUUUUGAUUCAUAUUUUUUCAUACAAAUUUCUCUCCUAAACAAUCGAAAAUGUAAGUGCGCGACUGCGAAGAUAUUAUAUCCACCACCACGACACAAUGCCGGAUCUGAAAUUGGUUGGAACGAAAUUGAAGGAUAUAUUAAAGGUCUCUAACACAUCACUAAAUGAAAGGAAAAUUGUUGUGGAACUUUUCUGGAUAUGUUGCUUCUUGCGGUGUACGUCUUGCUGCUGCUGGUAUUUUAGGAAUCCUCAAGAAAAUAGGAAGAGAUACAGUUAAGGCUGGUGAGAAGCAAAAGUCGGUGAUAGCACUAGACGGAGGGUUGUUUGAACACUACGCAAAAUUCAAAAGUUUGCUUAGAGAAUAUGCUGAAGGAAUUGCAGCAAAUAGUAGGAAACAACCACAAAUUCCAGAGAGUAAACAAAGUGAAGCAGAUAAACCACAAUCGAAGUUUAGAUGGCAUAAAACCAGGGCCAGCAGAAAGGGCCAACAGAAAAGACUGAAUCAAUUGUCAAGUUUAAAGAGCAUCUGUCUCAAAUAAGCUAGUCAAGAAACACAUUACUCCUAUUUCAAUUGAACCAUGAUUUAGACCAAUAUAUAGGGACCAAAAAAUAUUUGUAAAUAUUAUUUAGACCGAUAUAUUUGCUAUAUGUAAAUAUUAUUUUUGUUUCGAUAUUAUUUAUAAAAAUAUUUUGAUCAAUCAAAAA